rnacentral:tRNA from 1 species
GCCACUGUAGCUCAUCAGGUUAGAGCGACGGUCUCUUAAACCGUAGGGAGCAGGUUCAAAUCCUGUCAAUGGCUCCG